rnacentral:rRNA from 1 species
GACAGGGGUCUCGAACGUUAUUCGGAAUCACUGGGCUUAAAGGGCGCGUAGGCGGGCGAUCAAGUCGAGGGUGAAAGCCCCCAGCUCAACUGGGGAAGUGCCUCCGAUACUGGUCGUCUCGAGGGGGAUAGGGGCAUGCGGAACUUCCGGUGGAGCGGUGAAAUGCGUAGAUAUCGGAAGGAACACCGGUGGCGAAAGCGGCGUGCUGGAUCCCUUCUGACGCUGAGGCGCGAAAGCCAGGGGAGCGAACGGG